AAGGUCAACAAAAUAGUACCUUAACCUUCGAUAUGUCGCACUCCCACAAUACACACCAGUUUUUCAAGUAUGAACUUUGAAAGGGAUUCAUCAGCUGCUUUUCACAAAGAAGACUUGUUUCUCGGCAAAGGCCUCCGUGACAGAUCCGACAUAUUUUGCUGACUGGCGUUAAACAACCUUCAAUAUGGCACCAGAUCGUGAGAUGACUGCAUUCUUCACCCAGUAGCACGUGAAAGAUCACGGGGAUAUUCAGCUUCCAGUUGUGAGCAGUAUCCAAGCCAAUGUAUAAAGCGUACAUAAAAGUUCUUAGAAGGGACAUAUCUGCAAUGUUGCGUGUUGAAAACGCUUUAAGUAAAUGGCAACAUCUGCGAUUUUACUUUGCUGCUUGUGCUGUAAUGUAUCCACAAGGUUACGGCAACUAUUGUUCACCAACAAUGAUCUCGAGGGAUUUUACAACCAAGACCAUCCGCUUCAUUGAAGUUAUCCCAGAUUAAUUUUGGAGCAGCUACACCCAAGCGCAAGAGUCUGAAAACCGUUAGGAGAGACUGAAAGAUCAGCUUCGCCAGGGAUGCUGCAAGCUUCUUUAGAGGGUUGGAGUAAACAGACAUUCAGUGCUAAUAAAGAAUUUUUUUAAUA